CCGAAGCCGCGGGGGUGGGCGCGGGGUUCGGUGCCCCAUCUCGGAGCCGGUUCCUCUCCCCUUCUUCCCAUCCAUUCGACAGCUGGAUGCUAUUGAUCCUUUCCCUCUCCUCCUUUUUUCCUUUUUUUUUUUCCCUUCCCGAGCUCCCUCUCCUCUCCCUUUAAUUCCCUCCGUUCCUCCGGAGGAGCCGCCCGGUGCCGGGGGUAAGUGCGCAAAUGGGAUCGCGGCCGCCCUCCGCCCUCCCUGCGCUGCCCCACGCGCGGAGUGGGGUUCCCCGCAUCCCCCCCACCCCCCCACCCCCCCACGGCUUCCUUCACCGGAGCCCUUCGGUAGCCGUACCCGGCGCUGCCCCCCGGGCUCGGCGCUGCUGCGCUGCUGCGCUUCGGCGAUUUUUGUUCUGCGCUCAAUUUUCAUCUUCCUUCCCCCCCUCCCUCCCUCCCCCCCCCCCCUCCCCCGCCUCCCUCCCCGUUCAUUUCGCCUUAGGAAGAACCCGAAAGGCAAAACGACGCGGCCCCAAAUAAGAGGCGGAGGAGCACCUGCGGAAAGGUUAAAUGUGAGGCCGGAUCGAUCUUCCCCCCAUCGCCGUCCCUCCCCACUGCCCGCAGCCGUCCUGGAGGACGCGGCGCAGCCUGAAGUGGCCAAGUGACCACGCAGGACCACGGGACCCGAAGAUGCUGCUGACCAAUGGCCGCCCAAAGGAGCCCCUGUUGCUUAGCAACCCGGCUGCAGAGAGAGAGGGAGAGAGCGCAAAAAGAUGGAUUUUCAGAUUGCAGCAGCCAAGCAGAUCAAUUCUGCAACAUGGGCUACAGUGGCCAAGCGGAAUCUCUCUUGCUCCCAGCAGGUAUUGAUCCAGCCAUGCUAUAGGCAUUGAAUGAGCUCUAAUAAGUCCUGAGUAAACAGGAACAAGGACUUAAGUGAUAGCCCAGCAGUCAAACAUCAACUCCCUUUGUCUUCUUCUUCCUCUUCUUUUUUUCUUCUUCUUCUUCUUCUUUUUUUUUUUUUAAUUGCUGAAACCUUUGCAAGAAAACGACAAUAAAGUUUAUUGAUAGAG
rnacentral:lncRNA from 1 species